rnacentral:misc_RNA from 1 species
AACGCAUAUUGCACUUUCUGGUAUUCCGGAAAGUAUGCCUGUUUGAGGGUCAGUUAAAAUAAAAAUCGGUGUUGUUGCCGCCUUUUCGUGGUGACGCGUCGGAAUUGAGUCGUCUUACCUUCGGUUAAAGUGACUUAAAAUUUUUGUAUGAUUUUCGAACGUAUUUAAAUUGCUUACGUACGUUUGAGAUAUCUCCGAUGUUUUUAUUAGGUUCGGUCAUCCUCCAUGACUCGCGCCUAUAAUUCUUUCAUUAAAUGACCUCAAAUCAGGUAAGAAUACCCGCUGAACUUAA